rnacentral:rRNA from 1 species
AGAGUUUGAUCCUGGCUCAGAUUGAACGCUGGCGGUAUGCUUAACACAUGCAAGUCGAACGGCAGCACGGUCUAGCUUGCUAGAUUGGUGGCGAGUGGCGAACGGGUGAGUAACGCGUAGGAAUAUACCUUAAAGAGGGGGACAACUUGGGGAAACUCAAGCUAAUACCGCAUAAUUUCUUAGGAAAAAAGCUGGGGACCUUCGGGCCUGGCGCUUUAAGAUUAGCCUGCGUCCGAUUAGCUAGUUGGUAGGGUAAAGGCCUACCAAGGCGACGAUCGGUAGCUGGUCUGAGAGGAUGAUCAGCCACACUGGAACUGAGACACGGUCCAGACUCCUACGGGAGGCAGCAGUGGGGAAUAUUGGACAAUGGGGGCAACCCUGAUCCAGCAAUACCGCGUGUGUGAAGAAGGCCUGAGGG